rnacentral:tRNA from 1 species
AGAAAUGUAUUAUUUAAGAAUAAGCUUCUAACUUAAUUCUUUAGCAGUGAAAUUCUGUUAACAUUUCU